rnacentral:misc_RNA from 1 species
GAUGAAGAACGCAGCGAAAUGCGAUAAGUAAUGUGAAUUGCAGAAUUCAGUGAAUCAUCGAAUCUUUGAACGCACAUUGCGCCCCCCAGUAUUCUGGCGGGCAUGCCUGUUCGAGCGUCAUUUCAACCAUCAAGCCCUGCUUGUGUUGGGGUCCUGCGGCUGCCCGCAGGCCCUGAAAACCAGUGGCGGGCUCGCUAGUCACACCGAGCGCAGUAGCACAUCUCGCUCAGGGCGUGCGGCGGGCUCCAGCCGUUAAAGCACCCACCUUUCGCAAGGUUGACCUCGGAUCAGGUAGGAAUACCCGCUGAACUUAAGCAUAUCAAUAAGCGAGG